rnacentral:rRNA from 1 species
AGAGUUUGAUCCUGGCUCAGAACGAACGCUGGCGGCAGGCUUAACACAUGCAAGUCGAGCGCGCCUCCUGACUUCGGUCAGGCAGGUUAGCGGCGGACGGGUGAGUAACGCGUGGGAACGUGCCCUUAGGUACGGAACAACAGCUGGAAACGGCUGCUAAUACCGUAUGAUGUCUCUGACUUCGGUUAGGGACCAAAGAUUUAUCGCCUAGGGAUCGGCCCGCGUUGGAUUAGGUAGUUGGUGGGGUAAUGGCCUACCAAGCCUACGAUCCAUAGCUGGUUUGAGAGGAUGAUCAGCCACACUGGGACUGAGACACGGCCCAGACUCCUACGGGAGGCAGCAGUGGGGAAUCUUGGACAAUGGGGGAAACCCUGAUCCAGCCAUGCCGCGUGAACGAUGAAGGCCUUAGGGUUGUAAAGUUCUUUCAGCAGGGAAGAUAAUGACGGUACCUGCAGAAGAAGCCCCGGCUAACUCCGUGCCAGCAGCCGCGGUAAUACGGAGGGGGCUAGCGUUGUUCGGAAUUACUGGGCGUAAAGCGCGCGUAGGCGGAUUGUUAAGUCGGGGGUGAAAUCCCGGGGCUCAACCCCGGAACUGCCUCCGAUACUGGCGAUCUUGAGGUCGAGAGAGGUGAGUGGAAUUCCGAGUGUAGAGGUGAAAUUCGUAGAUAUUCGGAGGAACACCAGUGGCGAAGGCGGCUCA